GGGAAAGUACCCAGGGCAAGCUUUAAGUACAAAAUAGGGUGGUUUGCUUUAAGAGUCCUAAAGCAACCUGAGGAACAAUGCAAGAUACCCUGCAGGGUUAUCAGCCUCCUACAAGGGAGUCCCAGGCCCAUGACUCUUUCCAGAAAGAUUCUCCAUUCCUCAUUUUCCUCUAUGGCUACUAGUCAAUUUCUGAGGUUUGACUGAAUUAUCAAAUUCAAAUCUGCCCAGAUGUCAGUGUUAUCAUUUUCGUGUCUCCUGAUGGAAAUAUUCUUUGAUUGGUUACUAAGACCUCUAAACCAGCAGAGCCCAUAGUUGAGGAAAUGAGAAUGAAAAACUAUCUAAGUGGGUUAUUAGAUGUAAUAAUGAACGAUGUUAACACUCAUUUCUUUUCUUUUUUGAAACAGGGUCUUUCUCUGUCACCCAAGCUGGAGUGCAAUGGUGUAAUCAUAGCUCACUGCAGCCUCGACUCCUGGGCUCAACUCUCACUUCAGGCACGUACGUGUCUCACCCAAGGCAUCGAAAAUACCUGGUCUAUUGCGCUUUGCUUAGAGAUCAACAGAGUGACAUCCUAGGGUCUGAGCCUCAACCCUCCAGGCCGCAAGCCUCCCACUUCCACUCCACCAACCUUGACUUGUGGAACAUGCAUCCUCCUGGGGAUAAACCUCUACCAAGAUGUUCUUGUAAGAGUGGCUGCAAGUGCCUGCAUCAGAACCUCAGGAAAGCUGAUAAAGUUGAAGAGUCCUUGCUUUCCUCACUUGGGAGGGGGUGCUGCUGCUGGCAUUUAAGAUGAUUCUGAUUCAUGCUACAGUCUGACAACCUACAAAGCUGCAUGGAAGAAAACUCUCUUCCACAUGGCCUGGAGAGACCUAAGCAUCCACGUGCUCACUGCUCUCAGUGCUCAGAGAAGAGAACACCUGGGAAAUUGUCUUUGAAUUAUAUAGAACAAGUUGUCCACUAAAUGAAUAACAUCUGGAAGCAUUCCAACCUGGUAAAGCCCCUUGAGUGUUGCCUAUGAUGUGGGUGCAUCUGAUUCCAGGUCAUAUGUGCAAUGCUCUGCUGCAGACACUUUAGCUUUCAGAUUUUGUGGAAUAUUGUUACAGGAACACAGGUCUAUGCAAUGAGGUCUUGUAGCUGCUUCCUAAGCUUUGCACAUCAAUCCAUCAGCUCUAACAUUCUGGACAAUAUUAUUGCUGGCUACAAUAGUACUAUUUAUAAUAGUUCAAAUGAAUCAGAUUGAUUUUCUCCUUGAACACUAGAAUAUUUACUCUGAAUCAUCAAGGGCAAAAGGUCAAUUCCCCUCAAAAAGAUCAUGCAACCCUCUCUAUCAGAGGAUAAACAAUUCUUCAAGUAUUGAGGAAAGAAAAAUGACUUUGGGCCAGGCAUGGUGGCUCACACCUAUAAUCCCAGCACUUUGGGAGGCCGAGGAGGGAGACCUCACUUGAGGUCAGGAGUUCGAGACCAGCCUCGGUAAUAUGGUGAAACCCCAUCUCUACUAAAAACACAAAAAUUAGCUGGGCAUGGUGGCAGGAGCCUGUAAUCCCAGCUAUUUGGGAGGCUGAGGCAGUAGAAUCACUUGAACCCGGGAGGUGGAGGUUGCAGUGAGCCACGAUUGCACUAUUGCACUCCAGCCUGGGUGACAGAGCGAGACUCCAUCUCAAAAAAAAAAAAGAAAAGAAAAAAAAAAGAAAAGUGACUUUGUCCAUUGGGUAGCCAAGCUUUCAUUUUGCUCAGUGACGGAGUCUAGUACUUAAGAUCCAUAUCAUAGCAACACAAAACUUCUAUUGAGGAUGUAGCUUUUCAUAUGCAUCAUUCCCUUCACUUCUCACAUUGGUGUCCACUGAGGCGUAGAGACACGGUACAGGAUACAAAUGGUGAUGCUGGAAAGUGAACCUAAGUCUGUCUGUACAAUCUACACACCUCACCACUGUGUGAUCAGCUAUAGGCUUAAUACUAGUGAGACAGGGAUGCUUACCUGUAUUUGUUCAUUAAUUUGUUCAAUAAAAAGGACUUUGUGUAAGGUUCUACAUGUGGUGCUUGGGACACAAAGUCAAGUAAUUUAUGAACCCUCCCUGCCCUUGCCAUUUCCAAUCUAAUGACAAACACAAAGAACUAAAGGGGCAAUUAAAAUAAUUAGUGUAAGUGCUAGAGCAGAAGAAGGGUGAGGCUGGGGAGGCACAGACACAGGGUACAUAACCAUGUGAGUGUCAGUCAGAAAAGCCCUCCUGGGGGAGUUGGCUUCUGAGUCGAGUCCCAAGGGCCGAGCAGGGCUUAAUUAGAGGAAUUGGGGGACCCAGGUGAAAGCAACAUGCACCAAGGUCCAGCGCGGGAAAGGCCAGGCAUCAGGAACCUGGAGGAAGUUUACUUUGAGGAGGAUUUAUAUGAACAGGUUAGGAAAAGAGUUGAGAGACAAGCAGGAGGGGUUGGCUGGGGCCUAACCUAAAAUGGCCUCUCUGCUGUGAGAAAAGCUUGGGCUUUAUCCUGAUGGCAACAUCAAGCCAUUACAGUGUUUUAAGAGGAGGAGUAACAGGCUCAGCUUUUCUUCACAGGGGGAAGCUGCUGAUAGACAUGGGAGGGAUGAACUUGCCUGCAGCUCUGUUCUUAGAUGACAGAGGCCCAAGUUCAACUGGCACGGAGGCUGCAAACCUCCUGCUCAACAGCAUAUAUGACCAGAAAAAGAAAACAUCUGAAGAGAAUUAUGAACAUGCUAUAUGCGUCUCUAAAGUAUAAAUGACUAAAACUGACUUUACAAAC
rnacentral:lncRNA from 1 species